rnacentral:rRNA from 1 species
UAUAAUGGGUCAGCGACUUAUAUUCUGUAGCAAGGUUAACCGCAUAGGGGAGCCGAAGGGAAACCGAGUCUUAACCGGGCGUUAAGUUGCAGGGUAUAGACCCGAAACCCGGUGAUCUAGCCAUGGGCAGGUUGAAGGUUGGGUAACACUAACUGGAGGACCGAACCGACUAAUGUUGAAAAAUUAGCGGAUGACCUGUGGCUGGGGGUGAAAGGCCAAUCAAACCGGGAGAUAGCUGGUUCUCCCCGAAAGCUAUUUAGGUAGCGCCUCGUGAAUUCAUCUCCGGGGGUAGAGCACUGUUUCGGCUAGGGGGCCAUCCCGGCUUACCAACCCGAUGCAAACUGCGAAUACCGGAGAAUGUUAUCACGGGAGACACACGGCGGGUGCUAACGUCCGUCGUGAAGAGGGAAACAACCCAGACCGCCAGCUAAGGUCCCAAAGUCAUGGUUAAGUGGGAAACGAUGUGGGAAGGCCCAGACAGCCAGGAUGUUGGCUUAGAAGCAGCCAUCAUUUAAAGAAAGCGUAAUAGCUCACUGGUCGAGUCGGCCUGCGCGGAAGAUGUAACGGGGCUAAACCAUGCACCGAAGCUGCGGCAGCGACACUUUAGUGUUGUUGGGUAGGGGAGCGUUCUGUAAGCCGUUGAAGGUGUCCUGUGAGGGGUGCUGGAGGUAUCAGAAGUGCGAAUGCUGACAUAAGUAACGAUAAAGCGGGUGAAAAGCCCGCUCGCCGGAAGACCAAGGGUUCCUGUCCAACGUUAAUCGGGGCAGGGUGAGUCGACCCCUAAGGCGAGGCCGAAAGGCGUAGUCGAUGGGAAACGGGUUAAUAUUCCCGUACUUGGUGUUACUGCGAAGGGGGGACGGAGAAGGCUAUGUUGGCCGGGCGACGGUAGUCCCGGUUUAAGCGUGUAGGCUGGUUUUCCAGGCAAAUCCGGAAAAUCAAGGCUGAGGCGUGAUGACGAGGCACCACGGUGCUGAAGCAACAAAUGCCCUGCUUCCAGGAAAAGCCUCUAAGCAUCAGGUAACAUCAAAUCGUACCCCAAACCGACACAGGUGGUCAGGUAGAGAAUACCAAGGCGCUUGAGAGAACUCGGGUGAAGGAACUAGGCAAAAUGGUGCCGUAACUUCGGGAGAAGGCACGCUGACAC